UUAGACAGACUACUGCCAAAGAGAGGCAGGCAGGGAGAGAGGGAAGAAAAAAAAAACCUGAAACAUUUACUCGGCGUUUAUGCUUAUAAUAAACAAGAUUUUAACACAUUCUUUUCCCUUUACCCUUUAUUACUCUUUCAAUCUGCUCUAUUUCUUAAAAAAAAAAAGAAAAAAAAACACGCUGCACGGAGGAUUAUUUAAAAGGUGGAAGCAGAAUUACCCUGAAAUCCUGAUAAUAUAUAUAUAUAUAUAUAUUUAUAUAUAUAAAACAAUCUUCGCAUGAAAUAUUAAUCCUGAAGCAGAAGAUGCGGCUGCAGCGGAGGACGUGCGCCUGAAAAGAGAAAGUCGUCUCCGCAACUUAACGAUUCAUUCAUUUAUUCAGGUGUAUGUGCCGAGGCGGAAUGCCCCGGGGAACAGCGCUGACUGUGCACUAGGAGUCUGAACCUUGUUUUUGGCUGAGGAGGAGAAGAAGGAGGAGGAGGAGACGGAGGAGAGGUCCUCCCCCCCCACAGCGUGCCGUGCCGAGCAGUGCUUGACGCCAUGUCCCUGACUG